rnacentral:misc_RNA from 1 species
GAUGAAGAACGUAGUGAAAUGCGAUACUUGGUGUGAAUUGCAGAAUCCCGUGAACCAUCGAGUCUUUGAACGCAAGUUGCGCCCGAAGCCAUCAGGUUGAGGGCACGCCUGCCUGGGUGUCACACAUCGUUGCCCCAAUGCCAAUCGCCUCACUUUGUAGGUAUUUGCUUGGGGUGAAUGUUGGCCUCCCGUGAGCUUUGUCUCACGGUUGGUUGAAAAUCGAGUGCAUGGUGUCGGGUGUACCAUGAUGGAUGGUGGUUGAGUGAUGAUGCUCGAGACCAAUCAUGGGUAACUCCACCAGAAUUGGGCUCGGUGACCCACAUGCGUCCCUUGGAUGCUCCCUAAGGAGACCUCAGGUCAGGCGGGGCUACCCGCUGAGUUUAAGCAUAUCAAUAAGCGGAGGA